CGUGUAGGCGGUGCGAUAAGUCGGGCGUGAAAUCCCCGGGCUUAACCCGGGGCGGUCGCUCGAAACUGUCGUGCUAGAGUGCAGGAGAGGGAAGUGGAAUUCCCGGUGUAGCGGUGAAAUGCGUAGAUAUCGGGAGGAACAUCUGUGGCGAAGGCGGCUUCCUGGACUGCAACUGACGCUGAGGCGCGAAAGCUAGGGGAGCAAACAGGAUUAGAUACCCUGGUAGUCCUAGCCCUAAACGUUGAGCACUGGAUGUAGCCCUUCACCGGGCUGUGUCGAAGCUAACGCAUUAAGUGCUCCGCCUGGGGAUACGGUCGCAAGGCUGAA
rnacentral:rRNA from 1 species